ACUCAAAGGAAUUGACGGGGACCCGCACAAGCGGUGGAACAUGUGGUUUAAUUCGAGGCAACGCGAAGAACCUUACCAGGAUUUGACAUGCUCUCUGUGGGCUCCAGAAAUGGGGUCCUUCACUUCGGGUGGGAGAUGCACAGGUGCUGCAUGGCUGUCGUCAGCUCGUGUCGUGAGAUGUUGGGUUAAGUCCCGCAACGAGCGCAACCCUCGUCCUCUGUUGCUAACGCGUAAUGGCGAGAACUCUGAGGAAACUGCCGGUGAUAAGCCGGAGGAAGGUGGGGAUGACGUCAAGUCCUCAUGGCCCUUACAUCCUGGGCUACACACGUGUUACAAUGGCAGUGACAAUGCGUUGCUACUCUGCAAGGAGAUGCUAAUCGCAAAAAGCUGCCUCAGUUCGGAUCGUACUCUGCAACUCGAGUACGUGAAGCUGGAAUCGCUAGUAAUCGCGCAUCAUCGCGGCGCGGUGAAUACGUUCCCGGGUCUUGUACACACCGCCCGU
rnacentral:rRNA from 1 species